rnacentral:lncRNA from 1 species
GACCAUAUUGGAUAACCAAAACCCAAUAAUAUGAAUAUCAUUAGUAUCUACUGCAUUGUUCAUCAGUAUAUACUGCAUUGUUCAUCAGUAUAUAUGUCUUAUUCAUUACCAAUUUUUUAAAUUUUAUUUUUCAUCAGUAUAUACAUCUUGUUCGUUAGAUAUACGUUUUAAUUCAUUAGUAUUAUAUGUCUUAUUCAUUGUUGGGAACUUAAUGAAAUAUCCUAAUCCUUGUUUUGAUGAUACCAAAAUCAAUAGGUUUCUUUUGUAAUAGACUAGAACUGCUCGAACUCAAGUGUUAGAGUUCUUUUUCUAGUUUAGUUGUUGUUCUGAAGACUGAAGACUGAAGAACGAAGGACUGAAGACUGAAGACUGAAGUUGCCGAC